AUGCUGGAGUUUCCAUCAUUGCUUAUCGUACCCCAAACUCACGUGCCACUAAGAACGCACCAUGGACAGCACGGGGCUGUCUUUCGAUGCCUGUCUGCACUGGAGCCCCUGUAUGCACACCAAGCAGGGUCUCCAGUGGAACCUCAGGAAGAUGCUGACCUCUCGCUGUGCAGGGUCACUGACCAUCAUGGUUUUCUGCACAAAAAAUGCCGGGAGACCUGGAGAGCAGACAAGCAGGUGAAGAUGCUGUGCAAAUGGGACACAUACCAGCACAGCAAGAAGGUGGGGCUCCGGGUGCCCACGGAGGGAGGAUACUCGGUCCCAUUGGGGAGGUGGGGAGGGCAGCCCAUAGCUGCCCAACACACCCUCUCUCCACCCCCAGAAGUAUCCCCUUGCCUGGGGAGUCUGAUGCCAGAGCCAAAGCCACCCCCAGGCCCAAGGGGCACCAGAGGUAGCAUCAGUUUCCAUCAUUGGUAAAGAGAAGUAGUAUGAUGAACGCCCCAAUGCCGUCACCAGGUCCAGCCCAGGGUUCUGUGCUCAUCCCAUGCUUCCCCAGCCUCAAGGGUGUCACAGCAAACCAGGGACCUCGGGUCUACUUUAUCUGUGGACAUCUCCAUAUGCAUUUUAGAGAAUAGCGAUUCCAUGUAGGGGCACCUACACUCCAAUGUUUAUACCAACAAUGUCCACUAUAGCCAAACCAUGAAAAGAUCCCAGAUGUCCAUUGAUAAAUGAAAGGAUAAAGAAGAUAUGAUGUGUGUGUGUAUAUAUAUAUAUGUGUGUGUGUGUAUGAAAGAAAUCUUGCCAUUUGCAACAACAUGGAUGGAACUAAAGUAUUAUGCUAAGGGAUAUAAGUCAAUCAGAAGGCAAUUACCAUAUAAGUCCACUCAUAUGUGGCAUUUAAGAAACAAAACAGAUGAGCAGAGGGGAAGGGAGGUAAAAAUAAAACAAGACAGAAUCAGAGAGGGAUUUAAACC
rnacentral:lncRNA from 1 species